rnacentral:lncRNA from 1 species
GGAAACUCAAUUUGGACCAAUUAAACGGUGGGAAUUGAAGUUUAAUCGAAGAAAAAGGUUUGGAUCGAUUUAAUAGAGGUUUUAAUCGAAAGAUAUGGGAAACAAUUGGUGAAAGGUGAUGGAAAACCUAGAAAUGGAAGUUCUAGGGUUUAGGAAAUCAAGGCUGGAAGAGAAAAGUGUAGAUCUGUGAAGAGAAAAGAGACAAC